AGUGUGGGGAGCAAACAGGAUUAGAUACCCUGGUAGUCCACACCGUAAACGAUGGAUACUAGGUGUAGGAGGUAUCGACCCCUUCUGUGCCGCAGUUAACACAAUAAGUAUCCCACCUGGGGAGUACGACCGCAAGGUUGAAACUCAAAGGAAUUGACGGGGGCCCGCACAAGCAGUGGAGUAUGUGGUUUAAUUCGAAGCAACGCGAAGAACCUUACCUGGGCUUGACAUCCCUGGAAUCGAGUAGAGAUACUUGAGUGCCUUCGGGAAUCAGGUGACAGGUGGUGCAUGGUUGUCGUCAGCUCGUGUCGUGAGAUGUUGGGUUAAGUCCCGCAACGAGCGCAACCCCUAUUGUCAGUUGCCAUCAUUAAGUUGGGCACUCUGGCGAGACUGCCGGUGACAAAUCGGAGGAAGGUGGGGACGACGUCAAAUCAUCAUGCCCCUUAUGCCCAGGGCUACACACGUACUACAAUGGCCGAUAACAAAGUGCAGCGAAACCGUGAGGUGGAGCGAAUCACAAAACUAACGGUCUCAGUUCAGAUUGCAGGCUGCAACUCGCCUGCAUGAAGUUGGAAUUGCUAGUAAUCGCGGAUCAGAAUGCCGCGGUGAAUACGUUCCCGGGCCUUGUACACACCGCCCGUCACACCAUGAGAGUCGAUAACACCCGAAGCCUGUGAGCUAACCGUAAGGAGGCAGCAGUCGAAGGUGGGGUUGAUGAUUGGGGUGAAGUCGUAACAAGGUAGCCGUAUCGGAAGGUGCGGCUG
rnacentral:rRNA from 1 species